UACAGAGGGUGCGAGCGUUAAUCGGAAUUACUGGGCGUAAAGCGUGCGUAGACGGUAGCGUAAGUCAGAUGUGAAAGCCCCGGGCUCAACCUGGGAAUUGCAUUUGAGACUGCUCUGCUCGGGUGCGGAAGAGGGAAGCGGAAUUUCCGGUGUAGCGGUGAAAUGCGUAGAUAUCAGGAGGAACACCUGUGGUGUAGACAGCUUACUGGACCACUUCUGACGCUGAGACACGAAAGCGUGGGUAGCAAACAGG
rnacentral:rRNA from 1 species